rnacentral:rRNA from 1 species
GAAUGCUGACAUAAGUAACGAUAAAGCGGGUGAAAAGCCCGCUCGCCGGAAGACCAAGGGUUCCUGUCCAACGUUAAUCGGGGCAGGGUGAGUCGACCCCUAAGGCGAGGCCGAAAGGCGUAGUCGAUGGGAAACAGGUUAAUAUUCCUGUACUUGGUGUUACUGCGAAGGGGGGACGGAGAAGGCUAUGUUGGCCGGGCGACGGUUGUCCCGGUUUAAGCGUGUAGGCUGGUUUUCCAGGCAAAUCCGGAAAACCAAGGCUGAGGCGUGAUGACGAGGCACUACGGUGCUGAAGCGACAAAUGCCCUGCUUCCAGGAAAAGCCUCUAAGCAUCAGGUAACAUCAAAUCGUACCCCAAACCGACACAGGUGGUCAGGUAGAGAAUACCAAGGCGCUUGAGAGAACUCGGGUGAAGGAACUAGGCAAAAUGGUGCCGUAACUUCGGGAGAAGGCACGCUGAUAUGUAGGUGAAGCGACUUGCUCGUGGAGCUGAAAUCAGUCGAAGAUACCAGCUGGCUGCAACUGUUUAUUAAAAACACAGCACUGUGCAAACACGAAAGUGGACGUAUACGGUGUGACGCCUGCCCGGUGCCGGAAGGUUAAUUGAUGGGGUUAGCGGCAACGCGAAGCUCUUGAUCGAAGCCCCGGUAAACGGCGGCCGUAACUAUAACGGUCCUAAGGUAGCGAAAUUCCUUGUCGGGUAAGUUCCGACCUGCACGAAUGGCGUAAUGAUGGCCAGGCUGUCUCCACCCGAGACUCAGUGAAAUUGAACUCGCUGUGAAGAUGCAGUGUACCCGCGGCAAGACGGAAAGACCCCGUGAACCUUUACUAUAGCUUGACACUGAACAUUGAGCCUUGAUGUGUAGGAUAGGUGGGAGGCUUUGAAGUGUGGACGCCAGUCUGCAUGGAGCCGACCUUGAAAUACCACCCUUUAAUGUUUGAUGUUCUAACGUUGGCCCGUAAUCCGGGUUGCGGACAGUGUCUGGUGGGUAGUUUGACUGGGGCGGUCUCCUCCUAAAGAGUAACGGAGGAGCACGAAGGUUGGCUAAUCCUGGUCGGACAUCAGGAGGUUAGUGCAAUGGCAUAAGCCAGCUUGACUGCGAGCGUGACGGCGCGAGCAGGUGCGAAAGCAGGUCAUAGUGAUCCGGUGGUUCUGAAUGGAAGGGCCAUCGCUCAACGGAUAAAAGGUACUCCGGGGAUAACAGGCUGAUACCGCCCAAGAGUUCAUAUCGACGGCGGUGUUUGGCACCUCGAUGUCGGCUCAUCACAUCCUGGGGCUGAAGUAGGUCCCAAGGGUAUGGCUGUUCGCCAUUUAAAGUGGUACGCGAGCUGGGUUUAGAACGUCGUGAGACAGUUCGGUCCCUAUCUGCCGUGGGCGCUGGAGAACUGAGGGGGGCUGCUCCUAGUACGAGAGGACCGGAGUGGACGCAUCACUGGUGUUCGGGUUGUCAUGCCAAUGGCACUGCCCGGUAGCUAAAUGCGGAAGAGAUAAGUGCUGAAAGCAUCUAAGCACGAAACUUGCCCCGAGAUGAGUUCUCCCUGACUCCUUGAGAGUCCUGAAGGAACGUUGAAGACGACGACGUUGAUAGGCCGGGUGUGUAAGCGCAGCGAUGCGUUGAGCUAACCGGUACUAAUGAACCGUGAGGCUUAACCUU